GCGUACGGCCAUAUCAGCCUGGGUAUGCCCGAUCUCGUCUGAUCUCGGAAGCUAAGCAGGGUCGGGCCUGGUUAGUACUUGGAUGGGAGACCGCCUGGGAAUACCAGGUGCUGUAAGCA
rnacentral:rRNA from 1 species